GAUGAACGCUGGCGGCGUGCCUAAUACAUGCAAGUCGAGCGAACAGACUAGGAGCUUGCUCCUCUGACGUUAGCGGCGGACGGGUGAGUAACACGUUGAUAACCUACCUAUAAUACUGGGAUAACUUCGGGAAACCGGUUCUAAUACCGGAUAAUAUAUUCAACCGCAUGUUUCAAUAGUUAAAGACGUCUUUUCUGUCACUUUUAGAUGGAUUCGCGUCGCAUUAGCUAGUUGGUAAGGUAACGGCUUACCAAGGCAACGAUGCGUAGCCGAGCUGAGAGGAUGAUCAGCCACACUGGAACUGAGACACGGUCCAGACUCCUACGGGAGGCAGCAGUAGGGAAUCUUCCACAAUGGGCGAAAGCCUGACGCAGCAACGCCGCGUGAGUGAUGAAGGUCUUCGGAUCGUAAAACUCUGUUAUUAGGGAAGAACAAAUGUAUAAAUAACUAUGCACGUCUUGACGGUACCUAAACAAAAAGCCACGGCUAACUACGUG
rnacentral:rRNA from 1 species